ACCACUUUUCCUCAUAUAUGUAUGAUAUAUUUUUAAUAUUCACUUAUUUUUCUAUUGUUUAUUUUCCGAGAAAAAUUUGUAGUCUGUCUUACCUACCACGACCGGUCAUUUGACCGGUAGUACGAUUUAUACAUUUAUGUAAGAGUUUCUCUCUAAGACUCAAUGCCAAAACUAUAAAGUCGUUACAAACGAAAGUUCUCACUCGACUAUCGGGCUAGCGGUGUUUAUUUGCUUGAUUGAUAUCCGAUACAGUCAAGAUCCUCGAAUGUUCUACGCCAUCUCAUCUACUAUGACGUAAAAUAAAUAAACUUGUAACUGAA
rnacentral:lncRNA from 1 species